UUACUUUUCUUUUUGGUGGUGGUUCACCAAUAAUACAAUUUGGUUUACUGUGCUCCUAGGUACGUUUGUUCUAAAAUUCUGGUACCGUUUUUUAUUGUACCUUUUAUUAUCUGAUUUCUAACAGUAGGAGCUUUGGAAUUAAGGAUUAAAAGGUAAAAUUUCACGUUAUCACUUGAAAUUCAGUCACUUUAUGGAUGUUAUAUGUGUUGGAUUUUUCUUCACACACCCAUAAUACAAAAAUUAGAGAAGGAAACGCAUACUUUACUGGUUUGAAUCUACACCACGUUGAAUGUAAAGUAAGCUGAAAGUUAUGUGAAAUUGGAAUCCUAUUACAAAAAUGGCCAUGGGAUCUUAUGAGUUCAUGUGUGUAGGACCUGAUUAAGCAUUCUGGCAAAAAGCUAUCAGCAUAGGACCUUUGAGGUACUGAUCAGGGACUCCAGUGCACCUUACAAAGACAGCCAAACAUCACUGCAAUUAACCUGGAUUUUGCCAGACUUUUUUUUCCCUAAUAUCCUUGAGCAAAGAUUUACAUAAAAUUUGAUUUGCUGCUUUAAAGUGUGAAGGACAGGAGUAGUCUCCUAAAUUUUGAUUCACCUCUGCACUGACAAUCCUUGGGCCCAGCCUUCCAUGUUAAAAUGGAGUAAUAUUUACCCAUUUGUUUCUGUUGAUGCUUAGUGUUUUGAUAUCUUUUGAAGCUUCUUCAAGGUUUAAAAUUUGCUCUCCAUGCCAGCUUUGAGCCAGAGGAAUAAAUAAUUGAUCGGUGUUCUUGAUGAAGCUGAAGUGUAUGUGGCAUAUUAUGAACACUUGUACUUUCGAAACAACUGAGGUUGAAUGCUUUCAUUCAAAUGGUAGCUGUUUUUCCUUGGCUUUCUGCCCUGUUCUAAACACCAUCAGAACUGCAAGAUUGACAUCCCCUGUCACUUUUUUCUAGAUACCUUCUACAGACAGGGCACAGAACAAAAUCAUCCUGUCCAUUGAGCAAACAAACUACAAUAUGUUCCUACUGGCAAGAGAAAGAACCUGGAACCCAACCCUUUCUUUGGGACCAUUGAUGUGUUUUUGAUUGUUAAAUAGUUCCUCCUUUCUUCUACCUGUAAUAGGACACCUCCCCUGGAUAUCAUACAUGUCUAGUUACUUAACAAGUAAUGGAGGAUAUUUGACUUAAAUACUCUUUAUAGAUCAAAAUUAUUCUUGUUUCCUUCAAGUGGGUUGUUCUCAGCAGAAGCUGGUAAUCUUACAAGGCAGUGUAAUUGGGACACUUGGAAAUGUUUCAGUUUCUUUUUAGCUUGUUAUCUUGGCUUGUGUGGGCAUAUGCAGGCCCUGAACUUGCAAAACCUGUUGUCCUACUUGGAUCUGUUCCCUUUCCCUGUAUUUAUAAGGAAAUACACCUGAGAUCUAAUGACUGUCCAGACACUGUACACUUUACAUUUUUCUGCUUUUUUUGUAGACUCCAAUUCCAAUGUUCAAGAACCACUUAGACCCCUCUCUUCAGAGCUUCCUACAGAGUCUGCAAGCAAGGAAUUGCACAACCAUCUCGUGCUUAAUGUUGACAAUGAUACAGAAAGCACUGCUCUGUAAAAGAAACCAAAUACUCCAAAACAUUUUAAAAAACCUUUCUGUCCACGUGGAAAAAUAGCAAAUCAAGACCUAACAGUGAAAAGCUUUUUUGAAGAUAUGGUGGAACCGUCUGAAGGCUCUACUUACAUGUAAGGCAAUUUAACUGUACAGAAGAAGUUUAAUGAUCUGUGUCUUGACAGUGGUUUUCAAAAAUCCUGGAUGGGAAGAGUUGAUUACUGUGGAAAUUUUACAUAGGAAGCUUAAUUGCUGCUAAUACCCAUGGCAUUAGCAGAAAUCCCGAAAGAAUAAAAAGCAGCGCAUCACUUACUAUUUAAAGUGCAUGUAUGGAAAUAACCUACUUAAUGUCACUGUUUACUUUUGUUCCUAGUUCUUAAACAUUAUAUUAAAACAGAGAUGCCUUGCAAGAGACUUCCCCUCACUCACUUGCUGCAGACUUUUGUUAAAGUAUGAACCAAAAAAUGCCAGAGUGCUGGUGGUGACUGCUGGUUAUCAGUUGCCUGUCAAAACUGUGGAUGUAUUUCAGUGCCUUGAAGGACUGUCAUAUUGUAGAAAGAAACUUACUGUAUCUUUAAUCAUUUUAUUGCUACUUUAAGUACUGACCAUUAUCUGUAUGUCAUAGUUAUUUGUGUUAACCUACCUGCUUUUUAUGUGAAAUUCAUAACUGUUUCAAGGUGAAACAGUGGAAAUGUUUAUGCUUUUCAUUUAAAUUGGUUGAAUUUUGAACAUAUGUUUGGAUUCAUCAGCUGAGUGAGCAUUUAUAAAAUUAAAGGAUUCUGCCUUGUCA